ensembl:lncRNA
CCAGCAGUUCAUACUUUACUUGCAUAUCUGGCAGUGGCCCAACCCACAGGCACCCAUGCUCCCAUGCUGUGUUCCUCCGCAAAGUAGCACCCAGUUUCGGUUGAUAGUGCUCUCAAUCUUGAACUUCCAGGGACAAACCAGUUCCAGUGGCUAGUGAGAACGUUUAUCUUGGGCAGACUUGAUGUCCCAUUUACAAUUGAGGGUUUUUAAAUAUUCAUGUUUUCUUAUACUGUCUAUUCAAAAUAAUUGCACAUUGCCAUUUUUACAACAGAGUGCAGAGAGAGAUCCAAGCUGUUUGUUUCUCAGCUGGAAGGGAUGAAAAACAUGGAGAUGUGUCUUCCUGAAAAUUCAUCAUCAUCAAGAUAUGGAUUGGAGAAUAGUUAAAUCUAGACUUACUGAGGAGGCACAGAACAUAUAGUUUCUCUUAAGUGUGUCUUAAAAUGAAAUUGUGGUUUUAUUUGUUGGCUUUAAGUAUAAUUGCUGCUUGAAGCAGUGCUAUUUAAAAUGUUUAAAAAUGUAUCUAUAACUAUUUCCUCCUUUAUGGCAUGGAAGUGGUUUAUUGAGAGAAUUUGCCCAGUGCAAUCACCAGCUGUGGUUCCAUGUUUAAUGUUUAGUCCGUCGGUCAGUACCGGAAAAUAAAUCCUGACGGGACCCUGAUACUGACCGGCGGACUAUAUAUUAUCACGCUUAUUAUACAGUUACUUGCCAACAAGAUAGAAGACAUUCCUCCAAAAUACCUCUUUUUAAUGAUUUUGUUGCCGUCUCGUGACUUCCGCUUUCAAUACAUUUCCGUUACGUUAGGUGGACGGACUACUUGCGGAAUGGUAUGAAAGAUGUGAAUUAGAAGCACAAAACCCUUUGCCAAUGGCAGCGUCGCCCAUUCAAACCAAUGGAACUGUUUGCAACAUUCUGAGGAGCCGUAUAAUAAAGAGGUGAUAAGCAUGCUGAUAGGAUGUUGAAAGAAGGCUGGAGUUAGUGAUACAGAGGAAGAGAUAAGUGUAUAUGAGGAAGGGGGACACACAUAGUAUGUUAGCAUUUGUAUGGAAAUGUCACAUGAUUUACCCAUGGAUUGUAUUUCUAAGCGAAACAAAAAAAUGACAUUAUCUUUAACAACCACUAUAAUGAAUGCAUGUUUAAGCAUAAAGAAUAAAAUAUUGAUAGAGUAUGGAGUCCCAGAGAAUCAUGUCAGACCAUUCAUGUUUUUGACAGUACAAGGCAUAGAAAAAAAUAAUUCUUUCACACUUCUGAAAGGACAUUUUUCAGCUUUUUAAUAUUUUGUACGAUCAUAAUUGCUUGUCAGUUACAGAUGUCAUCUUUCUUUGCCAAAUUCAGCGUAGAGAUGCAGAGCUCAGUUUCUGGAAGACAUGACAUUGUGAAAAAAAACAAGACUGAAAUAAAACCUUUAUUUCAACCAAUCAGCGUCAGCAUCAAAAUUCACUGUGCAAAUCUGGUAUUGCAGUGUUUUUUCUUUUAUACCCAACCCUGAAUGGUAACCUUUCCUUUACGUGGAACUCAGUGACAAAACUAUGGGAACGAUAAUAGAGGAACAGUCAUCAGUAUUCUAUCUGCAUUGCACUGUGUCAAGAGGAGUUUCCUUUCCAUUUUUGUACAUGGACAGGGGUCCACAUUUAUAAAAAAUGCUCUUUUGGCAUUUGCAUUUCUUUGUGUAAGCUUCAUACAUGCUCCUUCUCUGCCAUUUCUCAACUUCGCCUGUGUGAUGUUUAGGGUCUGCCAAGCCUGUCAUUGUCUCGAGUCGUACAUUUUUAAUGUGAUCUCGCCUUGCCAUCAAAGAUCUGCUAAGCCCUUCAUGUUCUG